rnacentral:rRNA from 1 species
UAAAGGUGCGACCAGGAGCCUCGGUAAUGAGAAGGGUGCGAGAGUGGGGAGGAAUGACUGGUCGGAAAGCGAACGGAGGCGGCGUGUGAAGGUAGGGAUUAAAUCCUGGAGUUCAACUCCAGAACUGCCUAUGAUACUGGCGAGCUUGAGGUCGGGAGAGGUGAGGGGAACUGCGAGUGUAGAGGUGAAAUUCGUAGAUAUUCGCAAGAACACCAGUGGCGAAGGCGGCUCACUGGCCCGAUACUGACGCUGAGGUGCGAAAGCGUGGGGAGCAAACAGGAUUAGAUACCCGAGUAGUC